CCUACGGGUGGCAGCAGUGGGGGAUAUUGGACAAUGGGGGGAACCCUGAUCCAGCGACGCCGCGUGAGUGAAGAAGUAUCUCGGUAUGUAAAGCUCUAUCAGCCGGGCAGAAGAAAUGACGGUAGCUGAGUAAGAAGCCCCGGCUAACUACGUGCCAGCACCCGCGGGAAUACGUAGGGGGCAGGCGUUCUCCGGGAUUACGGGGUGUAAAGGGAGCGUGGACGGGGAUGUAGGGCUGGAGUGAAAGGCGGGGGGCCAACCCCCGGACUGCUCUGGAAACUAUGUGACUGGAGUGCAGGAGAGGUGAGCGGAAUUCGUAGUGUAGCGGUGAAAUGCGUAGAUAUUAGGAGGAACACCAGUGGCGAAGGCGGCUCACUGGACUGUAACUGACGUUGAGGCUCGAAAGCGUGGGGAGCAAACAGGAUUAGAUACCCGGGUAGUC
rnacentral:rRNA from 1 species